AAUCUUAAAAUACUCUAUCCUCUAUCAUCCGUUUGCUUGACAGAUUUUAAAAGUAAUCUAUCCUUUAUCAUUCAUCCGAUGGUAUAAAUCUUAAAGCACUUCAUUCUUAUCAUUUAUCCAUCUAUAUAGCUCUUAAAAUGCUCCAUCCUCUCUUAUCCAUCCACUUACAUAUAUCUUAAAAUGCUAUAUCCUUUAUCAUUCAUCUAACUGCAUAGAUCUCAAAGCACUCUUGCAUAGAUCUCAAAGUGCUUUAUCCUUUAUCAGCCAUCUAUCUAUAUAGAUCUCAAAAUGCUCAAUCCUCUAUUAUUCUUCCAUUUGCACAGAUCUCAAAAUGCUCAAUAUUAUAUCAUUAUCUAUCUACAUAGAUUUCAAAGUAUUCUAUCUUCUAUCAUCCAUUUGCUUAUACAGAUCUCAAAGUGCUUCAUUCGAUAUCAUCCAUCCAUCUACAUAGAUCUCAACUCUAUUAUCCAUCCACAUAAAUCUCAACUCCAUCUGUCAUCCAUUAAUUCACUUACAUAAAUCUCAAAGCUCUACAUCCUCUAUCAUCCAUCUGCUUGCAUAGAUCUUGAAGUAUAUAGUUCUCGAUCAUUUAUUUAUCUAUAUAGAUCUCAAAACACUCCAUCAUUUGUUAUUCGUCUUUCUACAU
rnacentral:lncRNA from 1 species